rnacentral:rRNA from 1 species
GAUGAACGCUGGCGGCGUGCUUAACACAUGCAAGUCGAACGAUGAUCCCAGCUUGCUGGGGGAUUAGUGGCGAACGGGUGAGUAACACGUGAGUAACCUGCCCUUGACUCUGGGAUAAGCCUGGGAAACCGGGUCUAAUACUGGAUAUGACCUUCUGGCGCAUGCCAUGUUGGUGGAAAGCUUUAUUGCGGUUUUGGAUGGACUCGCGGCCUAUCAGCUUGUUGGUGGGGUAAUGGCCUACCAAGGCGACGACGGGUAGCCGGCCUGAGAGGGUGGACGGCCACACUGGGACUGAGACACGGCCCAGACUCCUACGGGAGGCAGCAGUGGGGAAUAUUGCACAAUGGGCGCAAGCCUGAUGCAGCGACGCCGCGUGGGGGAUGAAGGCCUUCGGGUUGUAAACCUCUUUCAGUAGGGAAGAAGCGAAAGUGACGGUACCUGCAGAAGAAGCGCCGGCUAACUACGUGCCAGCAGCCGCGGUAAUACGUAGGGCGCAAGCGUUAUCCGGAAUUAUUGGGCGUAAAGAGCUCGUAGGCGGUUUGUCGCGUCUGCCGUGAAAGUCCGGGGCUUAACCCCGGAUCUGCGGUGGGUACGGGCAGACUAGAGUGAUGUAGGGGAGACUGGAAUUCCUGGUGUAGCGGUGAAAUGCGCAGAUAUCAGGAGGAACACCGAUGGCGAAGGCAGGUCUCUGGGCAUUAACUGACGCUGAGGAGCGAAAGCAUGGGGAGCGAACAGGAUUAGAUACCCUGGUAGUCCAUGCCGUAAACGUUGGGCACUAGGUGUGGGGGACAUUCCACGUUUUCCGCGCCGUAGCUAACGCAUUAAGUGCCCCGCCUGGGGAGUACGGCCGCAAGGCUAAAACUCAAAGGAAUUGACGGGGGCCCGCACAAGCGGCGGAGCAUGCGGAUUAAUUCGAUGCAACGCGAAGAACCUUACCAAGGCUUGACAUGAACUGGAACAGCGCAGAGAUGUGUUGGCCGCUUGCGGCCGGUUUACAGGUGGUGCAUGGUUGUCGUCAGCUCGUGUCGUGAGAUGUUGGGUUAAGUCCCGCAACGAGCGCAACCCUCGUUCUAUGUUGCCAGCGCGUUAUGGCGGGGACUCAUAGGAGACUGCCGGGGUCAACUCGGAGGAAGGUGGGGAC